GCUCCUGUGUCACAAUGGAUCAGUGCAUCUGACUGUUAACCAGAAGGUUGGUGGUUCGAACCCACCCAGGAUGGCU